rnacentral:rRNA from 1 species
UACGUAGGGUGCGAGCGUUAAUCGGAAUUACUGGGCGUAAAGAGUGCGUAGGCGGUUUUCUAAGUUUGGUGUGAAAUCUCCCGGCUUAACUGGGAGGGUGCGCCGAAAACUGGAAGGCUUGAGUAUGGGAGAGGUAAGCGGAAUUCCUGGUGUAGCGGUGAAAUGCGUAGAUAUCAGGAGGAACACCUGCGGUGUGAGACGGCUUACUGGACCAUAACUGACGCUGAGGCACGAAAGCGUGGGUAGCAAACAGG